ensembl:lncRNA
GAGGAGGAGGAGGGAAGGAAUCACAGCGCUGUGUGUGUGCAGAGCAGACGGACAUGGAGUGCAGCAGAUUCUGCAUUGACAGGCAGAGGUUACGGUAGUCACCUGAACAGGAGAAACACAUGUCCUGUGUCUACCUGCCCUAACACAUCUUCAACCCGAGUACAACAACUGAUACCUUCUACAGCAACAACUCCAGACUGAUACCUGCUACAGCAACAACUACAGUUCAACUACAGACUGAUACCUGCUACAGCAACAACUACAAACUGAUACCUGUUACAGCAACAACUACAGACUGAUACCUGAUACAUCAACAACUACACACUGAUACCUGCUACAGCAACAACUACAGACUGAUACCUGAUACAGCAACAACUACACACUGAUACCUGCUACAGCAACAACUACAGACUGAUACCUUCUAUGGCAACAACUACAGUUCAACUACAGACUGUUACCUGAUACAGCAACAACUACAGACUGAUACCAGUUACAGCAACAACUACAGACUGAUACCUGCUACAGAAACAACUACAGUUCAACUACAGACUGAAACCUGCUUUCAGCAACAACUACAGACUGAUACCUGCUACAGCAACAACUACAGACUGAUAUCUGCUUUCAGCAACAACUACAGUUAAACUAAAGACUAUCAGUCAAAGGAACAACAUAACUACAGACUGAUACCUGCUACAGCAUCAACUACAGACUGUUACCUGCUACAGCAACAACUACAGACUGAGACCUGCUACAGCAACAACUACAGACUGAUACCUGCUACAGCAACAACUACAGUUCAACUACAGACUGAAACCUGCUACAGCAACAACUACAGACUGAUACCUGUUACAGCAACAACUACAGACUGAUACCUGUUACAGCAUCAACUACAGACUGAUACCUGUUACAGCAACAACUACAGUUCAACUACAAAUUGAUACCUGCUUCAGCAACAACUACAGACUGAUACCUGAUACAGCAACAACAAAGUUCAACUACAGACUGAUACCUGCUUUCAGCAACAACUACAGUUCAACUACAGACUGAUACCUGUUACAGCAUCAACUACAGACUGAGACCUGCUACAGCAUCAACUACAGACUGAUACAUGAUACAGCAACAACUACAGACUGAUAUCUGCUUUCAGCAACAACCACAGUUAAACUACAGACAGUUAAACUACAGACAGUUAAACUACAGUUAAACUAUCAGUCAAAGGAACAACAUAACUACAGACUGAUACCUGCUACAGCAUCAACUACAGACUGAUACAUGAUACAGCAACAACUACAGACUGUUACCUGCUACAGCAACAACUACAGACUGAGACCUGCUACAGCAUCAACUACAGACUGAUACAUGAUACAGCAACAACUACAGACUGAGACCUGCUACAGCAACAACUACAGUUCAACUACAGACUGAAACCUGCUACAGCAUCAACUACAGACUGAUACCUGUUACAGCAACAACUACAGACUGAUACCUGUUACAGCAACAACUACAGUUCAACUACAAAUUGAUACCUGCUUCAGCAACAACUACAGACUGAUACCUGAUACAGCAACAACAAAGUUCAACUACAGACUGAUACCUGCUUUCAGCAACAACUACAGUUCAACUACAGACUGAUACCUGUUACAGCAACAACUACAGACUGAUACCUGCUUUCAGCAACAACUACAGACUGGUACCUGCUACAGCAUCAACUACAGACUGAUACAUGAUACAGCAUCAACUACAGACUGAUACAUGAUACAGCAACAACUAAAGACUGAUACCUGCUACAGCAACAACUACAGUUCAACUACAGACUGAAACCUGCUACAG